rnacentral:rRNA from 1 species
CACGUAGGGUGCGAGCGUUGUCCGGAAUUAUUGGGCGUAAAGAGCUCGUAGGCGGUGUGUCGCGUCGGCCGUGAAAACUUGGGGCUUAACUCUGAGCGUGCGGUCGAUACGGGCAUCACUUGAGUUCGGCAGGGGAGACUGGAAUUCCUGGUGUAGCGGUGAAAUGCGCAGAUAUCAGGAGGAACACCGGUGGCGAAGGCGGGUCUCUGGACAGCUCCUGACGGCUGAGGCAACGGAAGGCCCAGGGGAGCAAACGGG